rnacentral:rRNA from 1 species
AUACAUAGGGGGCGAGCGUUGUCCGGAAUGACUGGGCGUAAAGGGAGUGUAGGCGGUUAUGCAAGUUACAUGUGAAAGCCCGAGGCUUAACCUCGGAACUGCAUGUAAAACUACAUAACUUGAGUGUGGGAGAGGAAAGUGGAAUUCCUAGUGUAGCGGUGGAAUGCGUAGAUAUUAGGAGGAACACCAGCGGCGAAGGCGGCUUUCUGGACCAUAACUGACGCUGAGGCUCGAAAGCGUGGGGAGCAAACAGGAUUAGAUACCCUGGUAGUCCACGCCGUAAACGAUGGAUACUAGACGCAGGAGGUAUCGACUCCUACUGUGUCUGAAGCUAACGCAAUAAGUAUCCCGCCUGGGGAGUACGGCCGCAAGGUUGAA